UGCCUUUCCGGUUCUCCGGGGACCGGCUCGGGAAGAAGGCGUACUAACCCUUCGCUGGCGCUGGCGUGAGGAGCUGCGAGUUGUCCUCACCCCUGCGGGGAAGGUUACUUGCUUGUCCAGAGAAGAAAAGAACUGAGUGGAUCACCAGUUUGAGCCCUCAGGCAUGUCUGCCUGGAGAUUGCUUUUCAUAGAAGAGAGAAUAUUGCGCAGAACCUAUAAAACUCAAAUGAUCAAGAUCGGGCUCUGUUUCUUAAGCAGAGAAGGCACCUGGAGUUUCCUGCUUUGGGAAGGAUGUUGAAUUAAUAACACAUAUUUUGGAGUCUCUUGGAGCUGUAUAAACAAAAAGAAGUAGCAAUAAUUUAACAGCACAGAAGAAAAUGGAUUCUGGUGCAGAAGUCAACGAACCAAAUACUUCAGCUAGAGCCCAAAUCCACACACACGGUAAAAGGUCUAUUUACACAAGUGGCCUAUUCCAGGUUCUGCCACUGGGAGAUUCUUGUUCUCAUCAGGAGAAAGAAUUCGGGACAGAAGGGCAGCAAAUCACACUGCCCAGUUUUAUUAAAGCAGAAGUAUACUUCCAAGUUAUUGUUGCAGCCCUGGUGUCACCAUAGAUCAGGAUGCACCUGUACCAUGCCUGAGGUGUUGCUUCUCUACCUUCCUCCCUGUCUGGCUGACAGUUCUGUGAUCCUGUGUAGACUCCUCAUCGUGAGUCCUAUAGUUGCCAGAUAAAAUAUGGGAUUUCCAGGUGAAGCCUGCUUCUGGGAGCAAUAAGGCAGAUCUUUUAUCAGAGUUUCAAGAAGGGACAGCUUUGGGAGGCAAUCUCUGCAAGAAGAAAAGGAUAACCUGGCAAAAGAACAUUGGAGGGCAGACAGACAAACGGCCCUGCCUAACCACUGCACUGCCUACUUACAUUAUUGUGAACCAAAAGAUGGUCUGGAUGUUGUCUCCCCGAGAGUGAUGAUCUUAAAGCCUGCUUUCUCCUCACUGACUCUAAUGAUUCUCUAACGGCAUUGCUUUCAUUAGGCUCCUUUUGUUCUGCCACUGAGAAAUGAAUUUAAACAACAGUUAUUCAAGAGCCCUGGCAUUUAUCGAUUGGAUAAACACAUGCCUGAGAUUUGGUUGUGUUCCUUCUAAGCCUGCCAGCUCCUGUUUCUUCAACUUAUCGGCCAGCCUGGUUUGCCUCCCAACUUCUGGAGGGUAAUUUUGCAGUUCUGGUCCUGCUUUGUAAAGGCAGGCAGGGAAGGGGCUGCAGAAACUUCUCUGGCAUCAUCCUAAAUCUCCUUGGGGUACAAUUCGGAGGGCAUCCCCUGACUCUUAUAGGGUCCAUCUAGGGAUACAUAAGAAUAUAUGAAGUUAGAAAGACACUGCUUUUCAGGGGAUGUGGACAAGUCCACUCAAAUAGUGAACCAACCCAAUUAAAAUCCAGUGGAACUUGUGGUUGAACAUCAUAAGGACUGUAGCACUCCGUAGGUCAAAUGAAACAAAUGUUGGCAUUUCAUAAGACUUCUGAUUAGGUUUGUGUCUGCACAAUUUUAUGUUUGAGAGAGAGUACGCGAGCAUGUGCAUGAGUGGGGGAGGGGCAGAAAGAGAGGGAGACACAGAAUCUGAAGCAGGCUCCAGGUUCUGGGCUGUCAGACACACAGCCCAACGUGGGGCUCAAACUCAUGAACUGUGAGAUCAUGACCUCAGCCAAAGUCGGACACUUAACCAACUGAGCCACCCAGGCGCCCCGUGUACAGUUUUGAAAGAAUCCAUCAAUUUGGAUGAAAGAGAUUGUACGUUGUCAUCACGUAGAGAUUAAAUGCACCAGCUGAAAUUGCUCCAGAGUGGUGGUUCUCAGCACUCACUGAGGAGAAGGCUGAGAUUUUGUAAAAUUCCAAAUGACCAAAUCUGGGGCCUCGUUUCUUGAAAUUCUGAUUUAAUUAGCUUGGGGUAGGUCCUCAGCAUUGUGAGAUAUAUAUAUCUAUCUAUAUAUCUAUCUAUCUAUCUAUAUAUAUAUAGAUAUAUAGAUAGAUAUAUAUAUAUAAAUAAAUAAAUAAAAUCAGAUGAUCCUCAGAUCUUAUUCGGAACUGCUAGAACUUUGCUGCACAUUAGGAUCACCCAUAGAACUUUCUAAAUAGAUCCAUGUCUGGUCCACUCAAACCAAAUGAAACCAAAUCACUGAGGCAUGAACCUAGUCCUUUAACUCUCCUAAAACACCUCAGGUGGUUGUGGGGCAUACAGUGAGAGCUGAGGGUCACCAUUGUAGGUGAAGGGGAUCAGAAUAUGCCACCCCAAAAUAUGACACUUUGGCAUGAGGAGUAUUUUGAGCUGAAGUCAAAUGAUGCAGGAAGAGUUCUCCACACUGUUGUUAUCUGCUUAAAAGCAGGACAUAAAAUUCCCUUUGAGGAAGGUUCUCCCCCUACCCCCACUCCCCAUACUAGGGAAGAAGAUCUAAACAUUGAAGUCAGGGAGCUGACACCCAGCCGAGUUUGCAUUAAGACCUUACCAAAACAGCCCUUAUAUUCCAUUAGUUUCCCAUUAUUUCCUAGUCAUUUCCCUACAGUUUAUCAUGCCUUGAAAUCCAAACUCUUUCCUUUAUUGAGAGGACAUAUAUGCCCCCUGAGUCUAAUGAGUCAGUUUCUUUGACUUUCAACUCUUCUGUGAACUGUGCACAAAAGUAUUAAUAAAAACUGUCUACCUAA